rnacentral:rRNA from 1 species
UGGGGAAUUUUGGACAAUGGGCGAAAGCCUGAUCCAGCAAUGCCGCGUGUGUGAAGAAGGCCUUCGGGUUGUAAAGCACUUUUGUCCGGAAAGAAAUCCUUGGCUCUAAUACAGUCGGGGGAUGACGGUACCGGAAGAAUAAGCACCGGCUAACUACGUGCCAGCAGCCGCGGUAAUACGUAGGGUGCAAGCGUUAAUCGGAAUUACUGGGCGUAAAGCGUGCGCAGGCGGUUUGCUAAGACCGAUGUGAAAUCCCCGGGCUCAACCUGGGAACUGCAUUGGUGACUGGCAGGCUAGAGUAUGGCAGAGGGGGGUAGAAUUCCACGUGUAGCAGUGAAAAUGCGUAGAGAUGUGGAGGAAUACCGAUGGCGAAGGCAGCCCCCUGGGCCAAAUACUGACGCUCAUGCACGAAAAGCGUGGGGGAGCAAACAGGAUUAGAUACCCUGGUAGUCCCACGCCCUAAAACGAUGUCAACUAGUUGUUGGGGGACUUCAUUUUCCUUAGUAACGUAGCUAACGCGUGAAGUUGACC